GGCGAACGCUGGCGGCAGGCCUAACACAUGCAAGUCGAACGGAUCCUUCGGGAUUAGUGGCGGACGGGUGAGUAACACGUGGGAACGUGCCCUUUGGUUCGGAACAACUCAGGGAAACUUGAGCUAAUACCGGCUGUGCCCUUCGGGGGAAAGAUUUAUCGCCAUUGGAGCGGCCCGCGUCUGAUUAGCUAGUUGGUGAGGUAACGGCCCACCAAGGCGACGAUCAGUAGCUGGUCUGAGAGGAUGAUCAGCCACACUGGGACUGAGACACGGCCCAGACUCCGACGGGAGGCAGCAGUGGGGAAUCUUGCGCAAUGGGCGAAAGCCUGACGCAGCCAUGCCGCGUGAAUGAAGAAGGUCUUAGGAUUGUAAAAUUCUUUCAGCGGGGACGAUAAUGACGGUACCCGCAGAAGAAGCUCCGGCUAACUUCGUG
rnacentral:rRNA from 1 species